rnacentral:rRNA from 1 species
GAUGAACGCUGGCGGCGUGCCUAAUACAUGCAAGUCGAACGCACAGCGAAAGGUGCUUGCACCUUUCAAGUGAGUGGCGAACGGGUGAGUAACACGUGGACAACCUGCCUCAAGGCUGGGGAUAACAUUUGGAAACAGAUGCCAAUACCGAAUAAAACUUAGUGUCGCAUGACACAAAGUUAAACGGCGCUUUGGCGUCACCUAGAGAUGGAUCCGCGGUGCAUUAGUUAGUUGGUGGGGUAAAGGCCUACCAAGACAAUGUUGCAUAGCCGGGCUGAGAGACUGAUCGGCCACAUUGGGACUGAGACACGGCCCAAACGCCUACGGGAGGCUGCAGUAGGGAAUCUUCCACAAUGGGCGAAAGCCUGAUGGAGCAACGCCGCGUGUGUGAUGAAGGCUUUCGGGUCGCAAAGCACUGUUGUAUGGGAAGAACAGCUAGAAUAGGGAAUGAUUUUAGUUUGACGGUACCAUACCAGAAAGGGACGGCUAAAUACGUGCCAGCCGCCGCAGUAA